rnacentral:tRNA from 1 species
GGGCCUAUGGUGUAACGGUUAGCACAGUGGACUCUGAAUCCACUGAUCCGGGUUCACAUCCCGGUAGGCGCA